AAUCAUCAACCGCGAUGCUUCUUAGUGUCGCUGGCUUGGACUUGGGGAUCUGCUGGCUUGUCAAGAGUCGGCUUCCCUUGAAUGCAUUAGUCGGGUGCCUUGCUCGAGAAGUGUGAUAAUUAUCAUUCACUGAUCGUCGAGGAGCUUUGUCUCGGCUUCUAACCGCAUUGGAAACGAUGCAAUUUUGACAC
rnacentral:misc_RNA from 1 species